rnacentral:rRNA from 1 species
UGAUAGAUGGGCUCGCGUCUGAUUAGCUAGUUGGUGAGAUAAAAGCCCACCAAGGCAAUGAUCAGUAGCCGGCCUGAGAGGGUGAUCGGCCACAUUGGGACUGAGACACGGCCCAAACUCCUACGGGAGGCAGCAGUGGGGAAUAUUGCACAAUGGAGGGAACUCUGAUGCAGCGACGCCGCGUGAGCGAAGAAGGAAUUCGUUUCGUAAAGCUCUGUCCUAUGGGAAGAUAAUGACGGUACCAUAGAAGAAAGCCCCGGCUAACUACGUGCCAGCAGCCGCGGUAAUACGUAGGGGGCGAGCGUUGUCCGGAAUUAUUGGGCGUAAAGGGUUCGUAGGCGGUAAUACAUGUCAGAUGUGAAAUCUUGUGGCUUAACCACAUCAAGCAUCUGAAACUGUAUAACUUGAGUGGAGGAGAGGUAAGUGGAAUUCCUAGUGUAGCGGUGAAAUGCGUAGAUAUUAGGAAGAAUACCAGUAGCGAAGGCGACUUACUGGCCUCUAACUGACGCUGAUGAACGAAAGCGUGGGUAGCAAACAGGAUUAGAUACCCUGGUAGUCCACGCCGUAAACGAUGAGUGCUAGGUGUCAGGAGUCAAAUCUCGGUGCCGUAGUUAACGCAAUAAGCACUCCGCCUGGGGAGUACGUGCGCAAGCAUGAAACUCAAAGGAAUUGACGGGGACCCGCACAAGCAGCGGAGCAUGUGGUUUAAUUCGAAGCAACGCGAAGAACCUUACCAGGACUUGACAUACUAGUGCCAAAUGUAGAGAUACAUUAUUUCUUCGGAACACUAAUACAGGUGGUGCAUGGUUGUCGUCAGCUCGUGUCGUGAGAUGUUGGGUUAAGUCCCGCAACGAGCGCAACCCCUAUGUUUAUUUGCCAGCAUUUUGGAUGGGAACUAUAGACAGACUGCCGAUAAGAAAUCGGAGGAAGGUGGGGAUGACGUCAAAUCAUCAUGCCCUAUAUGUCCUGGGCUACACACGUGCUACAAUGGUCGUUACAGAGAGCAGCUACACAGCGAUGUCACGCGAAUCUCAAAAAGGCGAUCUCAGUUCGGAUUGUACUCUGCAACUCGAGUACAUGAAGUCGGAGUUGCUAGUAAUCGCAAAUCAGAAUGUUGCGGUGAAUGCGUUCCCGGGUCUUGUACACACCGCCCGUCA